rnacentral:rRNA from 1 species
CACCCUACGGGAGGCAGCAGUGAGGAAUAUUGGUCAAUGGCCGUAAGGCUGAACCAGCCAAGUCGCGUGAAGGAAGAAGGAUCUAUGGUUUGUAAACUUCUUUUAUAGGGGAAUAAAGGUAUCCACGUGUGGAUAUUUGCAUGUACCCUAUGAAAAAGCAUCGGCUAACUCCGUGCCAGCAGCCGCGGUAAUACGGAGGAUGCGAGCGUUAUCCGGAUUUAUUGGGUUUAAAGGGUGCGUAGGCGGAAUGCCAAGUCAGCGGUAAAAUCGCGGGGCUCAACCUCGCUCCGCCGUUGAAACUGGCG